GGAACUCCCGCCCGCAGCGGCCUGCCUGCUAGCUCCGGCUAGCUCAGUGUGGACUCCGUAGGCUGCUGAGGCCCCGCCCGCGACCCCCACCCCGUAAAGAAAGUGCCUCAGAGCCAAAGCCAAGAGAGCUGCAGCAACCGAGAAGUCCAGAGAGCCGGCGUGGGGCUGCUGGGGAAGCAGCGGCAGCACAGUGACCGCGACACAGAGCGGACGACACCCGGCCGAUUCCCUUUCCCCUUGGACAAAGAGGCACAGUCCUCAGCCUGCAAGUUUUUCAGCCUUGAAAACGCGGUGACCAGCAGCUGCUGAGCCAUGGCUGAAGGGGAAAUCACAACCUUCACCGCCCUGAUGGAGAAGUUUAAUCUGCCUCCGGGGAAUUACAAGAAGCCCAAACUCCUCUACUGUAGCAACGGGGGCCACUUCCUGAGGAUCCUUCCAGAUGGCACAGUGGACGGGACAAGAGACAGGAGCGACCAGCACACAGACACCAAAUGAGGAAUGUUUGUUCUUGGAAAGGCUGGAGGAAAACCAUUACAACACCUACACCUCCAAGAAGCACGCCGAAAAGAAUUGGUUUGUUGGUCUCAAAAAGAACGGAAGCUGCAAACGUGGUCCUCGGACUCACUAUGGCCAGAAGGCAAUUCUGUUUCUCCCCCUGCCAGUCUCCUCUGAUUAAAGAAAUCUCUUCUGGGUGCCGACCACUUCAGAGGAGGCUGAGGGGUCCUCACCCAGUUGACCCCAGAUUGUUCCCUUGACCAUUGGCUGCACUAACCCCUGGCCCACAGAGCCUGAAUUUGUAAGCAGUGCGCUUCUAAAUGCCCAGCUCACUUUUUUUGCAGAGCCUCUUACCCCAGCACAGUUUGGAACAGAGGGAUCAAAUUGCUUCUAGGGGCCAACAGGCUGGUCAGUCUGGGUGUGUGGACGUCCAGUUGCCUCCGGGCACCUGCUGUAGGCUGAGCCUCUCAAUGCAAAGGCGUGGCCAAAUGAAGUGUGUUCAGGGGGCUGCCAUGUGAGUCAUCAGUAACUGCAUACAGUUCCCUCUACUGAGUAAACUCUGUCUGUGAUUCCCCCAAACAUCUGGCAUGAUGCCCUUUUAUCCUUUCAGUUCUCC